CAGUUGGUUAGAGCGCGCGCUUGAUAAGCGUGAGGUCGGAAGUUCAAGUCUUCCCAGGCCCACCACUUUCAUCAAGUGAGCAUUCGUCUUCUGGUUACGGGGCCAUAGCUCAGCUGGGAGAGCGCGUGCUUUGCAAGCAUGAGGUCGUCGGUUCGAUCCCGUCUGGCUCCACCAGAUGGUUUGAUUGCCGACGGAGCUUGCGCCUAGGUCUUGCACCAUAAUCGUCCGCGAAACAUCACUUCGCAGCCACUAGUCCGGAUGGACAGUGAGGUUGCGUGAUUUCUGACAUCGUAAAGAGGAGAUCGAUCCGAGUUGGGUCGUGCAGCAAAUUGUUGCGCGAGCCUUCAUUAUCUCCGGAUCAUUUCGGCGCUUGCUUUCGACCGUGAGGUUGGCUGCGAGUUGUAAAUGAUCCUUUUAGCGAAGCUUGACCGCCUCGCUAUCGGAACGAUCUUACGAAGCAAGCUGGUCUUUCUAGUCAAUGUCCGGCUGCAGAUAGCGUUCAUCGAGGGCGCGUGCCGCAAGGUAAUUCUGCAGACAACAUUCUGCCGAGUGUGUGGACAUUGAUAAUGAGAGCAAUCAAGUGCCUUAAGGGUGUUCGGUGGAUGCCUUGGCGCUGAGAGGCGAUGAAGGACGUGCUACGCUGCGAUAAGCCGUGGGGAGCUGCGAAGAAGCUUUGAUCCACGGAUUUCCGAAU
rnacentral:misc_RNA from 1 species